rnacentral:misc_RNA from 1 species
AAAGAGAAGGCCCAAGGAUAGAUAGUUCAAAAUUGUUUAUCUUGGGAGCUAGAAGUUUCCAUCUCAAGCUUCAGAAGGGACAUUCAUCCAUUUACCAGAAGUAAAAGAGAAACUCUAUAGAACCAAACCAUCAGUGCCUAAUAUUGAUGGUAAUACACCCUUUUUCCACCAUAAAAAAAAUAGAAUCUAUACUAAGCCAACCAAGCGCUCUAAUUGGUUACGCUUCAAAAGUAAAAUUCUUAAUACUUUAUUCAACUUGGAGAAACCUUAUCAUAUGAUAUAAAAGCUUAGGUGGCUCUCUAGAUACACCAGAUUCAUCAGU